rnacentral:rRNA from 1 species
UACGGGGGGGGCAAGCGUUGUUCGGAAUUACUGGGCGUAAAGGGCUCGUAGGUGGCCAACUAAGUCAGACGUGAAAUCCCUCGGCUUAACCGGGGAACUGCGUCUGAUACUGGAUGGCUGGAGAUUGGGAGAGGGAUGCGGAAUUCCAGGUGUAGCGGUGAAAUGCGUAGAUAUCAGGAGGAACACCGGUGGCGAAGGCGGUUCUCUGGGCAUUACCUGACGCUGAGGAGCGAAAGUGUGGGGAGCGAACAGG